AUGUCGCCGUCCAUGGCCGCGGCCGUGUCGUCGCUCCGCGCCCUCCCACUCCACAUACUCGUGCCACUCGUGGCCUCGGCGCUCGCCUUCAUCGUCGCCGUCUUCCGACGCAUUCUUCGGCGGCAGCGGCCGGUGUACCUGCUGAACUACAGCUGCCACCUUCCGGACGCGGACCGGCAGUGCAACCUGGAGGUGUGCGAGUACUUCGGCCUCCGCUCCAAGCGCUACACCGACGAGACCGCCGACUUCAUGCGGCUCAUCUUCCGCAAGUCCGGCCUCGGGCAGGAGACCUUCGCGCCGCCCUUCAUCUUCUCCGGCAAGUUCGAGAAGACGCUGGCCUUCGCCAUCCAGGAGGCGGAGGAGGGCCUCUUCACCGUGGUGUCCCAGCUGCUGGCCAAGUCCGACGUCUCCCCGCGCGACGUCAGCGUCCUCAUCGUCGCCUGCUCCAUGUUCUCCCCUCAGCCGUCGCUGGCGACCAUGAUCGUGCGCCGCUUCAAGAUGAGGGACGACGUCAAGGCGUACAGCUUCGCCGGGAUGGGGUGCAGCGCCGGCACGGUGGGCAUCGACAUGGCGGCGCGGCUGCUGCGCGUGCAGCGCCGCCCGGGGUACGCGCUGGUGGUGGUGACGGAGAACACCAGCCUGAACUGGUACUUCGGCAACAACAAGCACAUGCUGGUGACCAACUGCAUCUUCCGCGUCGGCAGCGCGGCGGCGCUCAUCACCGACGUGCCCGCGCGCCGGGCCGACGCCAAGUACGAGCUGCUGCGCACGCUGCGGACGCACCACGGCGCCGACGACGCGGCGUACAACGCCGCCGUGCAGAUGGAGGACGAGGACGGCGGCGUGGGCGUGGCGCUCACCAAGGACCUCGUGCGCGUCGCCGGCGCCGGCCUCCGCAGCCACAUCGCCACCCUCGCGCCCUACGUGCUCCCGGUCUCCGAGCUGCUCAGGUACGUGUACCGGGUGGCGUGGGCGUACAGCGGCGGCAACCCCAAGGCGGCGGCGGCGCUGGUGCCGGACUUCCAGCGCGCGUUCGAGCACAUGUGCAUCCACUCCGGCGGCAAGGCGGUGAUCGACACGGUGGCGAAGCUGUUGGGGUUCGCGCCGGCGGUGGUGGAGCCCGCCCGCGCCACGCUGCACCGCUUCGGCAACACCUCCAGCAGCCUCGUCUUCUACGAGCUGGCCUACUUCGAGGCCAAGCGCCGCGUCCGCGCCGGCGACCGCCUCUGGAUGCUCGCCUUCGGCACCGGGUUCAAGGCCUGCAGCGUCGUCUGGCGCGCGCUCCGCGACUCCGGCCCCGACGCCGACAACCCCUGGAACGGCUGCGCGCACCGCUACCCCGCGGCGUUGCCGGUGCCCACCCCGCGCAGGCAGAACUACCAGCCCCAGCCCGAGCAGCAGCAGCAGCUAGAGGAGCAGAAGAAGCAGUGA
rnacentral:rRNA from 1 species